rnacentral:sRNA from 1 species
CAAUUUAUCGUAUAUCAAAGAGAGACAACUGUUGAUUUAUUUUUACCUGAAGAAGUACAUUUAUUGAGAGAAUAUUUGUAAUUUUUGUUACAUGAAUUUAAUUAGAAAGUGAGAAUCAUUAACAUUUAUGAUACCUGCUAAGUGGUAUAAAGAAUUUUUUUUGUAUUUUUUUUUCUAUGAAUAUCUAAUAUCAUUGUUUAAAAACAUGUACCUGACCAUUCAUACGAGUUUUAUCAUUGUCUUGCAUAUAUUUUUAUGUACAUGUAUACACAUACAUUAUAUGUUCAAGUGUAUGCUUGUUGUUGAAUCCUACGCAAGCUUAUUUUUUAUAUUAUAUAUGAUUAUUCUUGAUAACCAUGCACAAUCAUUUUAAUGACUCCCAUUUGUUAAUUUGUUAUGAAUAUUAUUUUUGUAUGAAAAUAAAUGUUGCUUAAAAAUUU